rnacentral:lncRNA from 1 species
UUUCUACACCUUAUUUUCAACCGUAAAAUCAUUUCACCAGUUUCUCUGCACGAAUACCGAGAGAAACCGAGCGGUGUUCUUCGUGUUCUUCAUAAUCAAACGAAGAUUUGAAGGUGUUAUUGGAAUCCGAUGGAGGCGUAUGAAUAGUCAAAACGAAGCUAUCGACGCGUAGAAUCUAGUUUAAUCAUCCGUUUGUGUGCAGAUUCAACAGGAUUUGGACGAGAAGUGUAUGCCCGAAGACGUUCAGAAAGUCACGUGGUGUUACAAAGCGAAUAAGGGAUGAAUCGAGUAAGCGAAGCGAAGAUGUACGGUAGAUAGAGUAUAGCCAGAGAUGGUCUAGAGACUAUGAGAGGCAUAGAUUGUGAAAGUGGAAAGAUGAGAUUGAGAUGUGAGACUGGAGUCAGAUUUAAGGCAAGUAUCCUAAACCUUUCUCUUGGAUAUAUUGCAAAUAUUCUGAUCCAUUCCUUUGGUAUAUGUUUCAAGUAUUCAUACCUUUCUUUUCAAUGUUCGAAAGUGCGAGUAUUCUGACCCAUUCUUUCUAAUCUUCAAGUUUCUAAAGAAUUUCCGUUUUACAAAUUAAUUCGAAGUUCAGAUUGUCAUUGAAGCAUGUGUUGCUCAGUGAUAGUUAGAGCUUUGAAUGAAUUGGGAUCUUCUUGAUUAUUCAACCCACCAUUGUCAUGCUGGUUUAGCAGGCUAAAUUCAGUUGCUUAGCCGAUAAUGGAGGAUACUGAAUAGUUGAGGAUUUCCUGAACUGUGAUUUAUGAAAUGAUGGAUCAUGAUUUAUGAAUAGAUUAUUAUCAAAGUUUGAUUUGGAAUUAUUCUGUUGUUGAUGAUAUUUAUGAUGAUGUUCUGUUAAUUUACAUUGGCUUCUUGAAUUGAAUUAGAGAAUUGGAUUAUUGUUUUUAUAUAAACCUGUGGACCAGAUUCGUGGUCAUGUUAGGCCAAUGAGUGCCUUGGAUCCAGUGAUAGAGCAUGGCGGGGCCUGCUCGGGGUUAGUGCGGAACUGAUCAGCUGCCUAACCUUGGUUUUAAUUAAAAUGUGAUAGUCCAAUUCAAUAAUUCUUUGGAAAGAUUGAAUUUCUCAGUUUAAAUGCUGCAAGGUAUUGUAAAUCAUUCUAUACAAUACCAUGAACUCAUGAACUCAGGUUGAAUCCUCUUAUAUCUUGAACUCGUGAACUUCUGUUAUAUCAUUUCAGAACUAUCAUUGUUUAUUAUUACUUGCUGAGCAUUGUUGCUCACCCUUGCUAUUCCUUUUUGACCAUUUCAGAAAGGCUUAAAGAUGAGAUGAUUGAUUGAGAUUGUGAGUAAGGCUAAUGCUAGGCGAGGAGACAGAGUUGAGGAUCCAGUGGUCGAGGAGUGUUCAGGAAAGUUGAUGAGGUUGGUGCAAGCUGGAAUAGUUGACAGUGAUUCUUCUUAUCGAAGAUGAUCUGAUUUGGUAAGAGA